rnacentral:rRNA from 1 species
AGUCGAGCGGUAACAGGGGUAGCUUGCUAGCCGCUGACGAGCGGCGGACGGGUGAGUAAUGCAUAGGAAUCUGCCCGAUAGUGGGGGAUAACCUGGGGAAACCCAGGCUAAUACCGCAUACGUCCUACGGGAGAAAGGGGGCUCCGGCUCCCGCUAUUGGAUGAGCCUAUGUCGGAUUAGCUAGUUGGUGAGGUAAUGGCUCACCAAGGCAACGAUCCGUAGCUGGUCUGAGAGGAUGAUCAGCCACAUCGGGACUGAGACACGGCCCGAACUCCUACGGGAGGCAGCAGUGGGGAAUAUUGGACAAUGGGCGAAAGCCUGAUCCAGCCAUGCCGCGUGUGUGAAGAAGGCCCUCGGGUUGUAAAGCACUUUCAGCGAGGAAGAACGCCUAGUGGUUAAUACCCAUCAGGAAAGACAUCACUCGCAGAAGAAGCACCGGCUAACUCCGUGCCAGCAGCCGCGGUAAUACGGAGGGUGCAAGCGUUAAUCGGAAUUACUGGGCGUAAAGCGCGCGUAGGUGGCUUGAUAAGCCGGUUGUGAAAGCCCCGGGCUCAACCUGGGAACGGCAUCCGGAACUGUCAGGCUAGAGUGCAAGAGAGGAAGGUAGAAUUCCCGGUGUAGCGGUGAAAUGCGUAGAGAUCGGGAGGAAUACCAGUGGCGAAGGCGGCCUUCUGGACUGACACUGACACUGAGGUGCGAAAGCGUGGGUAGCAAACAGGAUUAGAUACCCUGGUAGUCCACGCCGUAAACGAUGUCGACCAGCCGUUGGGUGCCUAGCGCACUUUGUGGCGAAGUUAACGCGAUAAGUCGACCGCCUGGGGAGUACGGCCGCAAGGUUAAAACUCAAAUGAAUUGACGGGGGCCCGCACAAGCGG